rnacentral:rRNA from 1 species
AUUGAACGCUGGCGGCAGGCCUAACACAUGCAAGUCGAACGAGUGGCGGACGGGUGAGUAAUGUGUGGGAAACUGCCUGAUGGAGGGGGGUAAAUCUUGGAAAAGGUAGCUAAUACCCCGUACCCUCAGAUGUGCCCCGAUGGGAUUAGCUAGUAGGUGGGGUAACGGCUCACCUAGGCGACGCUCCCUAGCGGGUCUGAGAGGAUGUACGGCCACACUGGAACGGAGACACGGUCCAGACUCCUACGGGAGGCAGCAGUGGGGAAUAUUGCGCAAUGGGCGCAAGCCUGACGCAGCCAUGCGGCGUGUAUGAAGAAGGCCUUCGGGUGGUAAAGUACUUUCAGCGGGGAGGCGUUACCUGCAGAAGAAGCACCGGCUAACUCCGUGCCAGCAGCCGCGGUAAUAC